UUAACUGUGUGUUAAUGAAACCCAGUGGCACACGUUAUUCAGCCAGUAGCUACGACAGACACUUGAGCACAUAGCGUGCUAAUGAACGUAUUUGAUUGACAGGUGAAGAGUUCGUCUCCAGCACCUACAGCAGACCAACUAACACAAUCCUGGAGUUUGAAGCUGCCGUGGCAAAAUCCGUGGGAGGCGCUCACACCCAGCAUCGACGCGGGGCGUGGUUGGAAGGGAUCACAUUCACAGGUGUCCCAGAACAUGAUGUCAUGCGACAAAAAACGCGAGGGACCGUGAUGUCAUGACGGUUGUGAAGUCAUUUUGUUUUCACCCGACGUUAUAGGCAAUCCAUCAUUUUAUCAUGUAGUCAAUAUUCUGCCUCUCUCCCCAAGUUAAUCAACUUGUUCUUUUAGGUGUCCAUGGGAAUCAGGCACACACAGGACACAAUUGGAUAUACCGACACAAUGAAAUCAAGCCUGUGUAAAAAGAAAAAAAAACUCUGUUCAGAUUUACACUGAAAUCGCUGUAUUAAAUUAACAUUGUGUUGAUUAGCAGUUUGCAGUGGAUCUUGGACUUCCCUAAAUCUUAGUGGCUUUUCCCAUGUUUUGAUUAAUGACGAUGCAAACAAGAAGAUGAAAAAACAUCCUUAUAGCAAGCAUUUACUGUAUCUGUGAACAUUUGUAAUCACCCAAGGGCUUAGUUCAAAGAUACUUGGACUGCUACUUGGUUUCAGAUCUAAAAACUGUAUUGUGAGUACCCAGACUAGUUUGAAAUGAAAUGAAGGAUUCAGUGGUAUCCAUUCACUCCUUUCAUCUUUCAUCUCAUUUUUCAUCUCUUUUCUAUACAUACACGUUGCAUCUGUCGCCCAUCUCCACAAAACUGAAGGUGAACAAUAAACUAGAAGAGCAGAUUUCCUGACGGAUGAUACUGAAGUUCCUCAUUGUGUCGCUGUCCGUCAUGUCCUCUAACUCUUUCACUAGUGUCCAAUAAAAACGUCAAUAAAGGGUGGAAGAGAAUCUUAAUGCACGAGUAUUCCCAGCUGAAGUCACUUGUUUAGAAGCCCCGAGAGACAUAAAUAAGAGAACGUGUCCGACAAAAGACUACCCGAUGCUUUUGGAGAGCAUUGUGAAGAAAAUGGAAGAAUUUGUCCUCCAACAACCUCAGAGCUAAGCGGUGUUCGACAAUGUACAGUACUUGAAAUGCUGUGAGCUAAGGUACAAACAUUUUUACAUUAAAGAGCACUCUUGUUGACAAAAUGAGCAGCACUCUUAAAGAGCUCUUCUUGAAGGCCAAUCAAUGUUUUUUUUUUGUUUGUUUUUUUUUUUAAAUGAUUGCUGGACAUCUUAGUUUCUUGACAGUCAUUAAAAUCGAUAUCAUAGUUUCCUCUCUGCAUUCCUUUAAGCUGUCACACUAGCGUCUGCUUUUUCUAGUGAUACAAAUAAAUAUACUAUGAACUUUCAAUCAAUGUGGUAACCUCCACUGAGGCACAUUUCCUAUCAUGAAUGUAUUUAC